rnacentral:lncRNA from 1 species
UUCUUCAUAUAACUUAUAAUCUUUCGCAUUGACAGGGAACUUUUUCUCUGAUAGUUGUUCCAUAAUUGCUAGUUAUAUUGCAACAUAAACAACCUCAAGCACUGCAGAGAAAAUAAUGUGAGGCUUCUUCCAAUUAUAUAGCAUUUUGCUUGUGAACCACAAGAUAUUUUAUAGCUCCAGCUACCUCAUGGGAAGAACUUCCCUGAGAAUAACUUCAACGAAAUAAAUUCCUGAAAUGCACCAGAUCCAAUAAGUCGACUUUUAUACAGAUUGACAAGUCUUAUAACCCAACAACAGCGAUUGCAAUGACUUGCCUUGAUCACCUUCAAACACAAUACUGCCUGUGCUACUCAUUAACACUUCAACAUUAAGCCAGACGAACCUAGCCAAUAUAUUCCGUGAGACCGCUCACAGAGAUAAGCUAAUAUUCAGGCUGGGUACAAUCCAGAUACACGAUGAAGUGGAGUACCAAAAUAGUAGAAUGCUAGAAGCAAUCUGCCACUAAAAGCUGAGGCCUGAGUUAACUCCAGAACUGAUAAAGCAAUCUGCCAUAACAAAUGAAAGAAGAUAAUAAAAACAAAAAAACUGAAAUAAGAAGACACACACAAGAGAGAGAGAGAGAGAGAGAGAGAGAGAGAGAGUGAAAUCUAGCACCCAAAAAGUUGCCAAAUAAGUUAACUAAAAUUUUCAGCUUCUUGAAAAACAAUUGCCCUUUUCUUCAGUUGGGAUAGUAGGAAAUUUCAAUUGCAUUCCAUGUUCU